UAAUACGAAGGGACCUAGCGUAGUUCGGAAUUACUGGGCUUAAAGAGCACGUAGGUGGUUAAGAAAGUUGGUGGUGAAAUCCCAAGGCUUAACCUUGGAACUGCCACCAAAACUUUUUAACUAGAGUAUGAUUGAGGCAAGCGGAAUUUCUAGUGUAGAGGUGAAAUUCGUAGAUAUUAGAAAGAACACCAAUUGCGAAGGCAGCUUUCUGGAUCAUUACUGACACUGAGGUGCGAAAGCAUGGAUAGCGAAGAGGAUUAGAUACCCUCGUAGUCCAUGCCGUAAACGAUGUGUGCUAGACGUUGGGAAUUUAUUUUUCAGUGUCGCAGCUAAAGCGUUAAGCACACCGCCUGGGGAGUACGACCGCAAGGUUA
rnacentral:rRNA from 1 species